GGGUAUGGCCAAGUGGUUAAGGCACCAGACUUUGACUCUGGAACUCGCAGGUUCGACUCCUGCUACCC
rnacentral:tRNA from 1 species